CUCCAGAACGUUCGGCGCCGCGGUCUGGCGCUCAUCGCGAUGCGCUGCACGGAGCGCCCUGCUGUCCCGACAGCAGCGUGUGCACCACAGACUCGAGUUAACGUAUGGCACGGUGUGCCACCACUUCGAAUGGGGUUUUCUGGGUAUGCAAAGCUUCCCUGCCAUCUUUACCUGCAGCAAAAGGGAACAACGUGGAAAUUCACUACCAGUAGAGGAAAAAAAAAAUAAAGCCAACGGCUGAAUUGAACUCAGCUCCCAACGGCUGUGGCUGCACACACAGGAUCAUUUCAACUCUGUCUCCUUGAAGUGAGUGCAAGAAACCGAGCCUUGUCCCAGGAGUGCAAGUCUGAGUUAUACUGCAGAGCAGCGAGGAACUAUCAUUGCCAAUGGGACUUCUUGGAAGUGCACUGCUGGAAAACCAAGUGCUGAUUUGAUCCUGUGAAAACCUCCCAAACAACAUCAGCAGUUUGAACUUCCCCACUGCGGAGCCGUCCCUUGUUCCCUCUGUGAGCAAUCUGCAAAGACCAGGCUGCCCCAUCCUGCCUGAUGGGGAACCACUCCGAGGAAACCAGGGUGGUGCUGCAGGGCAAAAGGCACAGCCCCCAUGAGGAGCAGGAGGCGUUGUGCAGGUCAGUCCCUAACCUGCAGUCUCACCCUGCCUGCAGGCAGAGCUCUCA